GUAGGUUACUCAUCUGAACUUCGUCUCCUUAUGAAAAAGUCUCCAUCUUCUCACUAACUUUCAGUAGAGGAGGUGUUGUAGAUUAGGCGAUGCCUCAAUGCCUGCUAGUUCAGAUACUUGGUCACGUGCCAUCUUUAAAGAAAACACACUCAUUUUUCAAUCAUGUGAAAUUUAUCAUCAUCGUCGUCGUCGUCAUCAUCAUGCCUCAAGAAAGAUCUACAAUUCUACUUCCCAAAGUUUUAGCUCCUCUAAAAGUCUCUAGCAUUUCGUUUAAAGCGUAGGAAGGGAACUGUUAGCACAGGUAGACUUGGAGUAGUGUGAGAACACCUACAAUCAUUGGGGCUAUUUUAUUUUCUUUUAUUUUGAGAAGACCAUGGAGUGAUUAAGUUUUGGGUUCAUGAAUUUCGGAGCUAAUAGGCAGCCAUAGUCUGUUGAUGAAAAGACUUUCUUUCUCUCAGGUGUUGCAAUAUAUGCUCACAAUCUUAAACAUAGUGAAAAUAAUGAAAAAGAGAAACUUUAUUUCAAGUCUAGGACGUGCAAGUCUUGGUGUCCAUUAAUAGGGUCCUUUAUGGCUGUAGGCAGUGCCUUCUUUUGGUAACCUCAAAUGAUGGAACAGGUUUCUCUGGUGUUCUUUAUAAAGCGCCUGAGCUAACUUCAUUACCUAAUGACCACAAGGGGUCUCAACUCCCAAUGCCAUGUGAACGGUAGCAGCAUAACGAUUCCACCCAUAAGAAAGGCUAAUAUUUGUUUUUCACUUAAUGUCCAAAUUGUAAAUACUUUUGACUUUAGGGAGCAUAGGGUUUAUGUCCUAAAUCCACUCCUAGUUAUGUGAGUACACCC
rnacentral:lncRNA from 1 species